ensembl:lncRNA
UGCACAGCUAUAAAUACUAAGCGUGUGUUGUGUGGGAAGCAGAAAAGCGAAGACGGUGUAAAACUGUCAUGAGAAGUGAUGCUAGAAGUGUCCUGUGUAACAUAAAAGCGAGGACUGCACUGUGAAUAAAUUAAAUCACACCGAGGUAUCAACAACAUCUUUAGACUGUCAUAUGAGACAAAAAAUAUAUUUGAGGCUAAACAGAAAAUAGCGGUCAGGGUCAAGAAAAUGGAAGCUGGAUCUGAGUUUUAAUGCCAGCUGCUGACAUUCCUCAGCAAAACUCCACUGAGCUGCAAGGGUUUGUUCACCCAGACAACACUGGAGAUGUAAAUACUGAGACACUGAACAAUGUUCUCUUCGUCAGGCUGCUGGCCAAAAGGAUUAAAGACUGCCACCAGUGAGAUAUGACACAAAGCAACGGCUCACAGAACUGAGCUGAAAAGCCAGUGGACGGAUCUCAUGCCAUAGAUGUGCAUGCAUAGUUAUAGUCAUACUGAAAAAGGUUUAUACAAAACAUAAGAACAAUAAUAAUAAAAAAAAAUAUGUCUCUUAGCAAAAUGAAAAUAAAAUCGCUGAUGUCAAUUACAAUUAGAAAAAGAUUAUUUGUAACGGUUCCCCAGAGAAAGCCUCUUCUCUCUAAAAAGACCAUGGCAUCACAGCGUAGGUUUGCAGAGUUAUAUCUGAAUAAACCACAAGACUUAUGGAACAAUGUCCUUUGAACAGACAAAACCAAAGGGGAGAGGGGAGUCUUCUUUUGUGAGGUUUGACAGCUAAAGCUUGGCCCACAGCAAAUCUUCAGCAAAAUGGGUGGAAAAGAAAAGAAUCAAGAUGCCUGUAAAGGCCCGGCCAAAGUCCAGACUGCAAUUUGAUUGAAAUACUGUACCAGGACCUGCAAGAGAGCUGUGAUUAAACACACACACCACAAUGAAGUGAAGCAACGUUCUAAAGAAGAAUGGGCCGGGGGCAGCACUUUAGCUCAGUGGGUGAAUAGGCGACCACAUGCCACACGGCUAGAGUGUAGUGGCCUGUGUUUGAGUCUGAUCUGCAGCACUUUGCUCUUUCAUCUCUCCAAACUUUCACUGAUCCACUAUCCAAUAGUCGGAGCGGAGUGGUCAGGAAGGCGUCUGGACGUGGCCGCGCCAUCUUGAUUUGCUUGAUUCGCCAUCUUGCUACUACUGCGCAUUCACCCAAUGUAUGUAUGUAUGAAAAAAAAAAAAAAAAAAAAAAAAAAAAAAAAAAAAAAAAAACACCCAGCACGCCCCUGCGGGCGGUUUAUCCUUCAAGCUCGGGUCCUCUACCAGAGGCCUGGGAGUUUGAGGGUCCUGCGCAGUAUCUUAGCUGUUCCCAGGACUGCGCUCUUCUGGACAGAGAUCUCCGAUGUUAUUCCCGGGAUCUGCUGGAGCCACUCGCCUAGCUUGGGAGUCACCGCACCUAGUGCUCCGAUUACCACGGAGACCACCGUUACCUUCACCCUCCACAUCCUCUCGAGCUCUUCUCUGAGCCCUUGGUAUUUCUCCAGCUUCUCGUGUUCCUUCUUCCUGAUAUUGCUGUCAUUCGGAACCGCUACAUCGAUCACUACGGCCAUCUUCUUCUGUUUGUCUACCACCACUAUGUCCGGUUGGUUAGCCACCACCAUUUUAUCCGUCUGUAUCUGGAAGUCCCACAGGAUCUUAGCUCGGUCAUUCUCCACCACCCUUGGGGGCAUCUCCCAUUUUGACCUCGGGACUUCCAGGUUAUACUCGGCACAGAUGUUCCUGUACACUAUGCCGGCCACUUGGUUAUGGCGUUCCAUGUAUGCCUUGCCUGCUAGCAUCUUGCACCCUAUGUAUGUAUAUGUAUAUAUACAUAUAUAUAUAUAUAUAUUAAUGUUCUUCCUCUACACCCCCU